rnacentral:lncRNA from 1 species
UCCAACACCGACCCGUUUCUUGACCCGCCAACUCCCAACACCGAAAGGAUCCACAUUUCCUUCUCUUUCAUCAUCUAGCUAGGGCUCCGGUAUUCUCCUCGUACCCAGAACUCAAAUUCGUUAAAGCUCGAGUCCUCACCGAUGGUUUGCUCAUGUCUUUCUUGUUCCACUAAGGUUUCCUCCCCUGCCAACCGUGGUGAUUGUACAACUGGUCGCCGCCGAUCUCGCCUUAUCGAACACUUGGUCUCCUAAAUCGUUGAAGGAAGCGAAAGAGGAACGCAGCCAUUGUCGUUAUCUGGUGGCAGUUCCGUCAUUUCUUGAGAGGUUUCCUGUUUCACUUUUUAUCAGACAUACACAUACAUGUGGUUCUGCGACUGUGGAGCUACUCGAGAGAAUGAAAGGUCAAAAUCUUUUUUGUUUAGGUUUUAUCUUGGAGAAGUCGGAAGAAGUGGGAUGUGAAAGCAAGAGAUUCGUCAUCAGUAGAAUCGAAAAAGGAAGGUGAGAGAGGGAGAGAGAGAGGGAGAGAGAGAGGGAGAGAGAGAGAGAGAGCUGUUCACUUCCUGACACGUGUACGCUCCUGCAC